rnacentral:rRNA from 1 species
AGCGAACGCUGGCGGCGGGCCUAACACAUGCAAGUCGAACGAACUCUUCGGAGUUAGUGGCGGACGGGUGAGUAACACGUGGGAACGUGCCUUUAGGUUCGGAAUAACUCAGGGAAACUUGUUCUAAUACCGAAUGUGCCCUUCGGGGGAAAGAUUUAUCGCCUUUAGAGCGGCCCGCGUCUGAUUAGCUAGUUGGUUAGGGAAAGGCUCACCAAGGGGACGAUCAGUAGUUGGUCUGAGAGGAUGAUCAGCCACAUUGGGACUGAGACACGGCCCAAACUCCUACGGGAGGCAGCAGUGGGGAAUCUUGCGCAAUGGGCGAAAGCCUGACGCAGCCAUGCCGCGUGAAUGAUGAAGGUCUUAGGAUUGUAAAAUUCUUUCACCGGGGACGAUAAUGACGGUACCCGGAGAAGAAGCCCCGGCUAACUUCGUGCCAGCCGCCGCGGUAA